rnacentral:tRNA from 1 species
UUGAAAUUUAUAUAAUAUAUAUAUAUAUUCAUUGUAAAUGAAUAAUUUUAAUUUAAAUUAAAAUUUCAAU